rnacentral:lncRNA from 1 species
CCGCUUACUUGGCUUCACCACGCCUGCUCGCCGCGGAUGAGCCGCCGCCGCCCAGGGCGCGGCCGUGUCGGGGGCGAAAGCUUAGGAAGGUUCGCCUGUAUGUGUCCUCUUCUUUUCUUUUCUUUUUCUUUUUUGAGAGAAGGCUGUGGCCCCUGCAGAAAUUUAUUUAAAACUUGGUGAAAAGUAACCAAAGUAGCCA